rnacentral:rRNA from 1 species
UACGGAGGGUGCAAGCGUUAUCCGGAUUUACUGGGUUUAAAGGGUGUGUAGGCGGGCUUUUAAGUCAGUGGUGAAAUCUCCGGGCUCAACCCGGAAACUGCCAUUGAUACUAUUAGUCUUGAAUUUUGUUGAGGUAGGCGGAAUAAGUCAUGUAGCGGUGAAAUGCUUAGAUAUGACUUAGGACACCAAUUGCGAAGGCAGCUUGCUAAACAAACAUUGACGCUGAGGCACGAAAGCGUGGGGAUCAAACAGG